GUAGGUGGCAAGCGUUGUCCGGAAUUAUUGGGCGUAAAGCGCGCGCAGGCGGUCCUUUAAGUCUGGUGUGAAAGCCCACGGCUCAACCGUGGAGGGUCAUUGGAAACUGGGGGACUUGAGUACAGAAGAGGAAAGCGGAAUUCCACGUGUAGCGGUGAAAUGCGUAGAGAUGUGGAGGAACACCAGUGGCGAAGGCGGCUUUCUGGUCUGUAACUGACGCUGAGGCGCGAAAGCGUGGGGAGCAAACAGGGAUUAGAUACCCUGGUAGUCCACGCCGUAAACGAUGAGUGCUAAGUGUUAGGGGGUUUCCCGCCCCUUAGUGCUGCAGCUAACGCAUUAAGCACUCCGCCUGGGGAGUACGGCCGCAAGGCUG
rnacentral:rRNA from 1 species